rnacentral:rRNA from 1 species
GAGUUUGAUCGUGGCUCAGAUUGAACGCUGGCGGCAGGCCUAACACAUGCAAGUCGAGCGGAUGACGGGAGCUUGCUCCUUGAUUCAGCGGCGGACGGGUGAGUAAUGCCUAGGAAUCUGCCUGGUAGUGGGGGACAACGUUUCGAAAGGAACGCUAAUACCGCAUACGUCCUACGGGAGAAAGCAGGGGACCUUCGGGCCUUGCGCUAUCAGAUGAGCCUAGGUCGGAUUAGCUAGUUGGUGGGGUAAUGGCUCACCAAGGCGACGAUCCGUAACUGGUCUGAGAGGAUGAUCAGUCACACUGGAACUGAGACACGGCCCAGACUCCUACGGAAGGCAGCAGUGGGGAAUUUUGGACAAUGGGGGCAACCCUGAUCCAGCCAUGCCGCGUGAGUGAAGAAGGCC